rnacentral:hammerhead_ribozyme from 1 species
AUCCAGCUGACGAGUCCCCAAAUAGGACGAAACGUGCGUCUUGGAU